rnacentral:rRNA from 1 species
UAUCUCUGUAGAGUCUGCAUAUCAAUAAGCGGAGGAAAAGAAACUAACAAGGAUUCCCUUAGUAACGGCGAGUGAGGCGGGAAGAGCUCAAAUUUGAAAUCUUCAAGGUUCUACCUUGACGAAUUGUAGUUUAAAGAAGUGUUUUCUGUUAGAUGAGUAGCAAAAGUUCCUUGGAAUGGGACAUCAUAGAGGGUGAGAAUCCCGUAUUUGGUUAUUCACUCUAGCUUUGUGAUACACUUUCAAAGAGUCGGAUUGUUUGGGAAUGCAGUCCAAAAUGGGUGGUAAAUUUCAUCUAAAGCUAGAUAUUGGCGAGAGACCGAUAGCGAACAAGUACCGUGAGGGAAAGAUGAAAAGAACUUUGAAAAGAGAGUUAAACAGUACGUGAAAUUGUCAAAAGGGAAGCGUUUGACACCAGUGUUGUUUAGUUGAAAAUCAAUUCAAUAGUUUUUGAUUCUAAGUAGUAUUGACUUCAUCAGCUUGCUGCUUUCUUCUCAGAAAUUAUUGAAUGCACUUUUCAGUUAACAAGUCAACAUCAAUUUCUUUUGUUGUAAAAGGGUAAGAGGAAGGUGGCUUGCGCUUCGGCUCAAGUGUUUAUAGCCUUUUAUCUCUGCAAUCGGAGAGAUUGAGGUCUGCAGCGUAGAUCCUUCGGGGUUAGAUACAUUGGUGCUAAGCUAUAGCCUUGUAUAGACAACUUGUUGACUAUGCUCAGUCAUGUAGCUUACUCGCUGAUGCUAUUUUACCUACGCUUAGGAUGUUGACUGAUAUGUAGUCGUA